UUUCCAGCUUAGGACUCAGGAGUGC
rnacentral:piRNA from 1 species